rnacentral:rRNA from 1 species
CACGUAGGGGGCGAGCGUUGUCCGGAUUUAUUGGGCGUAAAGAGCUCGUAGGCGGCUCGGUAAGUGAGGUGUGAAAACUCCAGGCUCAACCUGGAGCGGCCAUCCGGAUACUGCUAUGGCUAGAGUCCGGUAGGGGACCACGGAAUUCCUGGUGUAGCGGUGAAAUGCGCAGAGUAUCAGGAGGAACACCGGUGGCGAAGGCGGGUCUCUGGGCCGAUACUGACGCUGAGGAGCGAAAGCGUGGGGAGCGAACAGG